rfam:Aeromonas schubertii strain ATCC 43700 Scaffold26, whole genome shotgun sequence.
ACCCAGGGAUGACAGGAUACCCGCUGGAAGCGGUUGGACCGGCUCAGGAAGAGUCAGCAUGUUCAGGAUGGACAUGCCUCACGGAUGAACAGGGACACGCUGGAAGCGUUAAGGGACACCUCCAGGAUGGAGAGAGCGCGGUUACCAGGAUGGUAGCCAGGCCAGGAGGCUGCGGACACCCCGAAGGAUUGGGAAGGGGAAAUUCCUAAGGAAAGGAAAUAGUCAGGGAUUGCAGGGAGCAUGGCUGUUCAGGGAAUGGACAACACGACUCGGGGGGGACGGCGAAAGCCGCCCCCCUUUUCUUUUUC